rnacentral:rRNA from 1 species
GACAGAGGGUGCAAACGUUGUUCGGAUUCAUUGGGCGUAAAGGGCGCGUAGGCGGCGGGGUCAGUCGGGUGUGAAAUCUUGGGGCUUAACCCCGAAACGGCACUCGAAACUGCCCGGCUGGAGGGCCGGAGAGGAGAUCGGAAUUCACGGUGUAGCAGUGAAAUGCGUAGAGAUCGUGAGGAAGACCCGUGGCGAAGGCGGAUCUCUGGACGGCUAAAACUGACGCUGAGGCGCGAAGGCCAGGGGAGCAAACGGG